rnacentral:lncRNA from 1 species
GCCUGCUCAAAGACUUGCACAAUGUUAUCUAAACGCCAGAUGCUCCAUUGAUAAUAUCAAACCUAAUUUAGUUUUAUGCGCUUGUGAAGAAGUAUGCAGAACUGAGAUCUCGGCCAUUGUUUCAGUAGCAAAUGCCUCUAUUGAUAUACUGUGCAAUAAUUAUCGCAAGUAUGGCAACUGUCUGAAAAGGUAUGGUUGCACAAAACGAGACUUGAGCUUGGCGAAUAUCAAGAGACUGGAUGAAUGUCCCUGUUUCGAAUACUGUGAUUCUGGUUCCAGAUUAGCAGGGUUUUUAAGUCAACCAUUUUUUCCCAUAUUCUUCCUACUAACUGUUUAUAUCCUACCAAUAUACUAAUGUUUAUUAAUGUUCAUCUAACAGCAUAUAAAUUUAUCUAUUUUCUUUUAAAUAACUAAUACAAUAAGUAAAUUGAUCAUGCUUCAUCAAUCUAAAUCAAUGGUUCCUAAUCUUUAAAUAGUAUAGCUUUAACUAUUACACCGGUUAAAUAUGUACUAAUUUUAUCGACAUUGAAUAGUAAAUAGAGCUCUGUCAUUGCCAUAUUCGUGGUGUAUGCUUAAUUGUUUUAUCCCAUUACGAGUAUUAUAAAAUAUCUGCUCGGUUUUAAGAAAACGCUUUGAUUUGUUAUCUACUAGCCAUCAUGAAGUUUAGGGUUUUCCUACUAUCAUUUAAAUCAUCAUCAUAUAUAAAUUCAAAUUACGAUAAACGUAAACAAACAAACGAAGUUUGCUUU